UACAGAGGGUGCGAGCGUUAAUCGGAUUUACUGGGCGUAAAGCGCGCGUAGGCGGAUUGGAAAGUUGGGGGUGAAAUCCCGGGGCUCAACCCCGGAACUGCCUCCAAAACUUCCAGUCUGGAGUUCGAGAGAGGUGAGUGGAAUUCCGAGUGUAGAGGUGAAAUUCGUAGAUAUUCGGAGGAACACCAGUGGCGAAGGCGGCUCACUGGCUCGAUACUGACGCUGAGGUGCGAAAGUGUGGGGAGCAAACAGG
rnacentral:rRNA from 1 species